UGCACUGUUGCCCCCUGAACUUUUGGCGGAGUUUCACUUUACCCCCCAAACUCUGAAAUUAGACAUUUACCCCCCUAAACUUUAAUAUUGCAUUCUUGUUGCCCCUUCCGUCAGUUUGGGUUAACAAAGCUGAACGGGAGUUGACGGAAGGGUUAGGUUUUGGCGGGAAAUCCACCGCCAAAACUGUCCCUUGUACCGACCAACUCUCUUUUAUUCCUUAAAAACUCAUUUUUCUCCAUUUCUUUGCCCUCUAACUCUUCUUCUCCAACUCUUUCCUCCAAAGCUCUCUCUUCUUCUCCUCCAACUCCUUCAAAACUCUCAUUUUCUUAUAAACUACCCCAUGGAUGCCUCACAAUUCGUGAUCCCGAGAUGUUUUUGCGGUGAAUCUGCACAAAUUAAGACAUCUUGGACUGAUUCAAAUCCAGGGAGGCGGUUUUUGGGAUGCAAAAACUAUGGGGUAGUGGGUGCAUGUGGAUUUUUUCAGUGGUUUGACCCUCCAGUUGGUGAUCGAGCUAAAGUAAUUAUUACUGGACUGCUUAGGAAGAGCAGCAAGAUGGAAGAUGAGUUAAAGCAAGUUAAAAAGAGAAGGAUUUGUCUUUGGUUUUUUCUUGUAUUAUCCUGGAUCUUAAUAUGGAUCCUAUUUUGUAGUUUGAUGUCUACAGAAGGUUGUAAAGGCAAUUAAAAAUAUGGAUCCUGUUUUGAUGUGUAAAGAAGGUUGUGAAGGCCAUUAAAUAUAUGGGCCCUGUUUUGUUGUGUCUGCAGUAAUCCCUCUGUCAAGGCCUAGCUGUGCCAAAUUGUAGCCAAGUGUAUCUCGUAAAUGAAUGAAGCGGUAUUAUACUACCUUGUUCUCUGAAAAAA